GGAAGGGUGUCGCUCCCGGUGGAGCGGCCAGACUUCAAAUCUGGAAGGGGCCGCCAGCGGUCCCCGGUGGGUUCGACUCCCAUACCUUUCCG
rnacentral:tRNA from 1 species